UACGUAGGGUGCAAGCGUUGUCCGGAAUUAUUGGGCGUAAAGAGCUCGUAGGCGGUUUGUCGCGUCGGGAGUGAAAUCCACUGGCUUAACUGGUGGCUUGCUUUCGAUACGGGCAGAUUGGAGGCAUGCAGGGGAGAACGGAAUUCCUGGUGUAGCGGUGAAAUGCGCAGAUAUCAGGAGGAACACCGAUGGCGAAGGCAGGUCUCUGGGCAUUAACUGACGCUGAGGAGCGAAAGCAUGGGGAGCGAACAGG
rnacentral:rRNA from 1 species